rnacentral:rRNA from 1 species
CCUACGGGAGGCUGCAGUGGGGAAUAUUGGACAAUGGGGGCAACCCUGAUCCAGCCAUGCCGCGUGUGUGAAGAAGGCCCUCGGGUUGUAAAGCACUUUCAGUGAGGAAGAACGCCUGGUGGUUAAUACCCAUCAGGAAAGACAUCACUCACAGAAGAAGCACCGGCUAACUCCGUGCCAGCAGCCGCGGUAAUACGGAGGGUGCGAGCGUUAAUCGGAAUUACUGGGCGUAAAGCGCGCGUAGGUGGCUUGAUAAGCCGGUUGUGAAAGCCCCGGGCUCAACCUGGGAACGGCAUCCGGAACUGUCAAGCUAGAGUGCAGGAGAGGAAGGUAGAAUUCCCGGUGUAGCGAUGAAAUGCGUAGAGAUCGGGAGGAAUACCAGUGGCGAAGGCGGCCUUCUGGACUGACACUGACACUGAGGUGCGAAAGCGUGGGUAGCAAACAGGAUUAGAUACCCUUGUAGUC